CUGAAGCAGGAGAGCAAGGAGGUACAUCUUGGUUGUGCACUGAACCAGAAAUAUUUGGUUGACGUCAACAAGAAAGAUAAAGACCAGCAACGUCCAGACCCAGCAUCAUCUGGUCUCAGAAAGUGCAAGAGAGCUGGAAUUGGACACACCCCAGUAAGAGAGCUUCCUGAAGAAUAAGUUGCUUUCUCAAGAGUCCCUGAUGACAAACAUCCUGAAUGAAAACAGCACUUGAGAGAUAACUUGGGGGACCUCCUUUCAUUAUGUGUGCAAGAGGAGAAACAGCAAUACAUCUGUGCUUCUAAAUGUUCGUUAAGAAUGUGCUGUUUAGAAAUAUUUUUUUUAUGAUUUUAAUUGAAAUUUUCUUUUUGUUGUUUCAUAUUUAUAUGUUCUUGUUACUGUUUUUAUCUUUUCAAAUAUUUUUAAAUAUUUUAAUUUAUUUGUUUUAAUCCUGU
ensembl:lncRNA